rnacentral:rRNA from 1 species
AGUGAACGCUGGCGGUAGGCCUAACACAUGCAAGUCGAACGGCAGCACAGUAAGAGCUUGCUCUUACGGGUGGCGAGUGGCGGACGGGUGAGGAAUACAUCGGAAUCUACUUUUUCGUGGGGGAUAACGUAGGGAAACUUACGCUAAUACCGCAUACGACCUACGGGUGAAAGCGGGGGAUCUUCGGACCUUGCGCGAUUGAAUGAGCCGAUGUCGGAUUAGCUAGUUGGCGGGGUAAAGGCCCACCAAGGCGACGAUCCGUAGCUGGUCUGAGAGGAUGAUCAGCCACACUGGAACUGAGACACGGUCCAGACUCCUACGGGAGGCAGCAGUGGGGAAUAUUGGACAAUGGGCGCAAGCCUGAUCCAGCCAUACCGCGUGGGUGAAGAAGGCCUUCGGGUUGUAAAGCCCUUUUGUUGGGAAAGAAAAGCAGCAGGUUAAUACCCCGCUGUCCUGACGGUACCCAAAGAAUAAGCACCGGCUAACUUCGUG